AAUAAUGGACAAUGGGUGCAAUGCUGAUCCAGCCAUGCCGCGUGUUUGUAGAAGAUCUUCGGAUUGUAAAGCACUUGAAUUUGGGAGGAAGGGCAGUUAACGAAUACUUAACUGUUUUGACGUUACCACAAGAAUAAGCAGUGGCUAACUUCGUUCCAGCAGCCGCGGUAAUACGAAGGGUGCAAGCGGUAAUCGGAAUUACUGGGCGUAAAGCGCGCGUAGGUGGUUCGUUAAGUUGGAAGUGAAAGCACCGGGCUCAACCUGGGAAUUGCUUUCAAAACUGGCGAGCUAGAGUACGGUAGAGGGUGGUGGAAUUUACUGUGUAGCGGUGAAAUGCGUAGAUAUAGGAAGGAACAUCAGUGGCGAAGGCGACCACCUGGACUGAUACUGACACUGAGGUGCGAAAGCGUGGGGAGCAAACAGG
rnacentral:rRNA from 1 species